CCCUUAGAUGUUCUGGGCCGCACGCGCGCUACACUGUUCGACGCAGCGAGUCUUAACCUUGACCGAAAGGUUUGGGUAAUCUUCAGCAAAGUCGAACGUGAUGGGGAUCGAUCAUUGCAAUUAUUGAUCGUGAACGAGGAAUUCCUAGUAAGUGCAAGUCAUCAGCUUGCGCUGAUUACGUCCCUGCCCUUUGUUCACACCGCCCGUCGCUACUACCGAUUGAAUGGUUUAGUGAGAUCUCUGGAUUGACGCUGGCUAGGGGGCGACCCUUGGCCAGGCUGUCGAGAAACUGCUCAAACUUGAUCAUUUAGAGGAAGUAAAAGUCGUAACA
rnacentral:rRNA from 1 species